UGGGGAAUAUUGGGCAAUGGGGAAACCCUGACCCAGUAACGCCGCGUGAAGGAAGAAGGCCUUCGGGUUGUAAACUUCUUUUAGCAGGGACGAAGGACGUGACGGUACCAUGCAGAAAAAGCAACGGCUAACUACGUGCCAGCAGCCGCGGUAAUACGUAGGUUGCGAGCGUUGUCCGGAAUUACUGGGUGUAAAGGGCGUGUAGGCGGAGCUGCAAGUCAGAUGUGAAAUGUCAUGGCUCAACCAUGGAACUGCAUUUGAAACUGUGGCCCUUGAGUAUCGGAGAGGCAAGCGGAAUUCCUAGUGAUAGCGGUGAAAUGCGUAGAUAUUAGGAGGAACACCAGUGGCGAAGGCGGCCUGCUGGACGAUGACUGACGUUAGAGGCUCGAAAAGCGUGGGAGCAAACAGGAUUAGAUACC
rnacentral:rRNA from 1 species